rnacentral:lncRNA from 1 species
CAUCCCUGGGUGCUGGCUGGCCCACUCCGCGGGGCUGCAGAGGGGCUGCACACCACCGGGGGGCGUUGUUAAGGGUGCCCCUGGCUCACUCUCCAGCACGGUGCAGGUGCCCACAAAUCGUGUGGGCAUCCUCGACAGGUGGCCCCAGGGCUGUUUUACUUAGUGACCUGUAUCAGACAGGGCUUAGUGUGCGUUCCACACUGAGUUAGAAACACGGACACACGCGUGCCUCUGUCUCCACUGACAGGGGCUUUGUGGCCGCGGGCUUGUGGACCUCUCUUCACUUGGCAGCGCCUCUUGGGAGGCAGGAACUGAGGGUUGGUGGGUGAUGAACACACGAAGGAAGCAAGGCAUGACCCUGUGUCCCCCCACUCCCAGCCAUCUCCUGCCAGCAACACGGGGACAUUCACGGAGGUGGGGAGAAGAGAGGAGCAGGUGGAUGAGGCCCCUCCCAGCAGACAGUGUCGGGGGAGGGUCUCUCCCAGGGUCCACAGCAGGGUCCUGCCUUCACCCAGAGCCAGCCCAGCCAGUGGGUACAGUAAGCAUCUGUGGGUGGUGGGACUCCGCUACUCACAGAGGCACAGGUGGCCCAACAGGUGCUGCCUCCAGCAGCCCACAGCACAAAGGGGAGAAUCCACCCCCCAACACAGCUGGCACAGGCAGAAGGCAUGGCUAGUGGUCACCGACCCCCUUGGCUGUUCCUCCCAGGCCCAGGGAGGAAGCAUCCCAGCUACUGCCGGAAUGUUCUGGACAUGGACCACGCACUGGGCAUGAUGGUGAGGAGCUGGGGGACAGGAACUCAUUCGGCCAUCAGAACAAUCCCGGGAGAUCAAUGCCCUCUUGCACAGGGUCACGCCUUAGCCUCAGCCACCGUCUCUUUGAUGAAACUGUCAGAAACUAGCAUUCAGGUUGAAGAGGAGGCAGAAGGAAGGAGCCGGGGGAGCCACGAGAGACCAAUCGGCGCAGAAGUACGUGGCACUGCGGAAGUCCUGGGGAAAAGCCGAGCAGCUGUGUGGCCUCGGGCUCAGCUCGGCCUCUCUGAGCUCGCUGGUCCAUGCCUUGGGAGGGUAGUGACUACACUCGGCGAACAGGCAGAGACAGAGAAACACAGGUGUGUCUCUGGCGGCUCACUCCCCGAAUGGCCACAGGAGCCAGGGCUGGACCAGUCAAAAGCCACGACCCAGGAGCUCCGUCCAUGUGUGGGGCGGGAUCCUGACGGCCUGAGCGCUCACCUGCAGCCUCCCAGAGUCCGCAUGAGCAGGGAGCUGGAUAAGGGGUAGAGUGGAGCCUGCACCGGGACACUUGGAUACGGGGCGCAGGUGUCCCCAAGUGGCAUCUUAGCUGCUGCAUCCGUUGUGUAGUCCCUACGGUAUGCCGAGGCUAUGGGCUUCACAAAAGAUGAUCUGGGCAGGAUCUGAGGGCUCAGGCACUGCAAACUGAGAUGCUUGCAGGAACCAGGCAGUCAGGACCGGCGAGGUGGUCUGGGCUACCACCCUCUCCCCUGGAACUACCGAUGAGGAUGCAGCCGACGCCGGCUCUGCAUGGCAGCCCCUGGGGAGCGUGGGAUGAGGACCGCGGCGCUGUCCAAUGAGUACAGCUGCUGCUCAGCUCCACUUGACCAUGGGCACAACGCUAGACUGCCCGUUUUCCCGUUUUGCAGAGGAGCUGGACGUCUUGACUUUUUAUGUAAAUAAGCUUCUUUAAAAUGUCAAGCGAUUGAGAGAAUGUAAACCUCUGAGGACACCCGAGCAGUUGCAGCUGUUGAAAGCCUUCUGGCAAGGAGGCUGACAGCUUGUGACCUCCAGGGCGGUGGAUGGGAAGAGCGCCCUUCUUUAUCCACUCACCUUGUCAGCGGGGCGGGGCCGCAGGUGCAUGGGGUGGAGGGUGUGGGGUGCCACUGCUGUGAGGGGCUGGGAUCAGCAACAGGGCAGGGGGCCUGGUUCUGUCCCUGCAGCAUGUGUUCAGGUCACCCAUGCCUAAGAGCUUCUGUCCCCUCAAGGGGUGAUGGGCGGGCCGGGGCAGGAGUCAUGUGAGGUGAGCGCAGGGUGGGAACCGAGGUCACGGGAGGCUCCACUGACGAUGCGGAGACCCAUCUGCUGGGGAGGAAGUGGCAACUGUCUGGACGCCCAGGAGGAGUCUUACUCCACUAAAAAUAGGUCCUCACAGCCUCCUCCAUCGGGAGGGCUCCUCCAGAGACGGAGCCGGCAGCCGGCGCCGCAAGCAGCCCGGCGAGGAAGAGGAGCCGAGGAAGCAGCCCGAGCUUGGCCAGCAGGGUUCACA